UACGUAGGGGGCAAGCGUUGUCCGGAUUUAUUGGGCGUAAAGAGCGCGCAGGCGGUCGAUCAAGUCGAGUGUGAAAGCCCCCGGCUCAACUGGGGAGGGUCAUUCGAUACUGAUCGACUCGAAGGCAGGAGAGGGUAGUGGAAUUCCCGGUGUAGUGGUGAAAUGCGUAGAUAUCGGGAGGAACACCAGUGGCGAAGGCGACUACCUGGCCUGUUCUUGACGCUGAGGCGCGAAAGCUAGGGUAGCAAACGGG
rnacentral:rRNA from 1 species